rnacentral:rRNA from 1 species
AGAUACCCGGGUAGUCCACGCCGUAAACGAUGAAAACUAGCUGUUGGAGGAGUUUGUCCUUCAGUAGCGCAGCUAACGCGUUAAGUUUUCCGCCUGGGGAGUACGGUCGCAAGAUUAGAACUCAAAGGAAUUGACGGGGACCUGCACAAGCGGUGGAGCAUGUGGUUUAAUUCGAUGCAACGCGAAAAACCUUACCUGGCCUUGACAUCCUCGGAACCUCCCAGAGAUGGGGGGGUGCCUUCGGGAACCGAGAGACAGGUGUUGCAUGGCCGCCGUCAG